rnacentral:lncRNA from 1 species
CAAAUCUGAACUUGCAUCCCAUGUGUUUGUGUUUUCUUGCAGAGGUGCUCAGAACAGUGGAUUUUGUGGCCCCUGAUGAUCGAGUCAUCUUCCGCACCUGUGAAAGAGAACAGAGCAGAGUGGUCUUCCAGAUGAUAAAAUAAUGUAGGUGGUAUUGACAUCAACGUGGGCUGUCCAAAAGAAUAUUCCACCAAGUCUGCCCCCAGGACCUCGCUCUCCUGUUGCUUCCUGUUUCUGACUGAAGCCCUCUUCUCUGCUUGGCAUUCAAACACAGCCUUUGCCUGUGACCUCUAUGGAUGCUUUGCCUGUCUCCUCAAGGGAUGCUGUCAAAGUACUUGAGUUCUGUGGAGCCA